rnacentral:lncRNA from 1 species
AGAAGAUAUUUUGCUCAAUAUCAAUUAUUCUUCCCACAGAUUUUUAUUGAGCCAACCAUAUGUAAAUUAACAGCUAAGUGUGAGAUGAGUUUCCUGGAAAAACAGUGGGCUGUGUCUGAGUAAUGUUCCAGCACAGACACAUGAUUGUCAAGGAAACCAUAGAGAGGAUUCCUGCCCAGGCAGGAAAAUGGACAGGAUGGUUUUUAAAGACUGUUACACCUCUUAAGAGUCUGGGGUCACUGAACCAUGAAGAAUUUCAAGGACAAUGCAGAGGGGCAGAAGUGAGUGUCCCUUAAAUACAUUAAACACAUUGUUUCCAUUUCAAAGAGAGGCAAAGGGGCAGGGUCACUCCUACCCCUUCACUGCCACAAUUUAUUUUUAUUUUUUUCCCAGUUUUUGGGAGUAGUCACGUUUUUAAAAUUAUAAUUAUUGGCAAAAUAUUGUACAAAUUGAAGGAUUCACUGCAAUAUUUCCAUGCCUAUAUACAUGGUGCAUUAUUUAUGUCCAGCCGCCCUUCUUCCAUUCAAGCCCCCCUCCCUUACCCCUUCCUUUUAGCACCCUUCCCAGUACCUAAAAGUCCCUCUUAAUUCCUCAGUGUUCCCACUCCCUGUUGUCCUUCCCCAUCUCUAGUGACCACUAUUCUGUUCUGUACUUCUACAAGUCUGAAUUUUUGGUCUCCUUAAAUGAAUGAGAACAUGUGGUAUUUAUCUUUUCAGUGUCUGGGUUAUUUCACUCCAAAAUAAUGUUAUCUAGAUGCAUCCAUUUUACUACAAAUAACAGGAUUUUCAUUUUGUGUGUGUGUGUGUGUGUGUGUGUGUCUGACUAGUAAUCCAAUAUGUAAAUAUACCAUAUUUUCUUUAUCCAUUCAUCUGCUAAGGGCAUCUGGGUUGAUCCCAUAUUUUGGCUAUUGUGAAUGGUGCUGCAACAAACAUGGGGGUGAAAGUAUCUUUGGUACCAAGAUUUCAACUCCUCUGGGUAUAUACCCAGUCGUGGCAUUGCUGGGUCCUAUGGUAAUUUUAUUUUUAGUUUUUUGAAGCAUCUCUUAUUGUGUUCCACAAUGACUGUAUUAAUUUACAUUCCCACAAGCACACUGCCACAUUUUUUUGUCCCAAGGAAUAAAGAUUAAGCCACUAACAAUGGCUAUGGAAAUACUGGAAUCAUAAAUCAUAACAGGUAAAUCUCAGAAGACAUUUUCUUUGAGGACAUUGAAAUACUCUACACACAGAUAAUACAUAUGUAGAAGAUGCUGUGCAAUGAUGCUGGUACCAUUGUUUGUGGGGCAGUCUUGCCCUACAGACUCCCAAAUCCUUGAAAACAAGGAUUCUGUUUUCUUUAUCUUUAAUUCUGCAUGCUUAACAUAGUUGCUGGCCCACAGUUUAUGCUCUGAACAUUUUUGAUGAAUUAUCUAAACGAUUUCAGAUUUCUAUUCUUCCAGAAAAUUGGUACCAAGAAUUUUCAAUGGACAAGCCACUGACCGCGCUUGUUCUUAUAAGGAAUUAAAGUAAAUAAAAACAAGCUCAUCAAGAGGCACACAUGGAGAUGAGAUUAAAAAAAUAUAUACAUCUAAGAUAAUUAAGUAGUAACAUUAAAGCUAUUGAUCAGGUGACAAAAUGAGAAAAAGAAAUACUGUUGAAUUCCAGAAGAAAGAGAGUGGUGUGGAGAGGUAGGGAAAUUCUGAUCUACUUAUAAGAAAAUAACAAUUUUUUUUGAUUCAUUUUUUAGAUUCAUUUCUCAAAGGAAUAUUCGCUCCAAGCCGGGUGCUAUGGCGCAAGCCUAUAAUCCCAGUGGUUUGGGAGGCAGGAGGACCAUGAGUUCAAAGCUAGCCUCAGCAAUUUAGUGAGGCCCUAAGCAACUCAGUGAGACCCUAUCUCUAAAUAAAUACAAUAGGGGCUGGGGAUGUGGCUCAGUGGUUAGGUGCCCCUGGGUUCAAUCCCUGGUUCCAAAAAAAAGAACAUUUGUUAACUCUAGCUCUGAACUAAGUAAGUUUGUUUUCUUCAAUCCUUCAUGCAACAAGAUACAAAUAUAGACAUAUUUUAAUUCUUUUUCUUCAUCAUUUGCCAUAUAUUUUGAGGAUUAAAAAAUGGCAUUUUCAAAGCUUUGAGUAGGGAGCAAGUGUUAUUUUUGGAAGUCAGAUUGAAUACAUAAAGAAAGGCACAAAAUAGUCUGUGAUAACUACAGAAUCAUGAAAGGGAGGGAAAUAAUGGAAUAAGUCAUAAAAGUAUGUGUCAGGAAGGGGCAAAAUUGUGAUGUAUGCAGACAAGGGGAGAAAUAAAAAAUGUCCAUGCAUUUCUGCCCCUUUCAAUACUUUAUUCACACAAAUUACUCAAUACAGUUUCACUCUAUAGGUUCUUUUUUUUUUUUUUUUUAAGAGAGAGAGAAAGAGAAUUUUUUAAUAUUUAUUUUUUAGUUUUCGGCAGACAUAACAUCUUUGUUUUUUGUAUGUGGUGCUGAGGAUCGAACCCCGGGCCGCACGCAUGCCAGACGAGCGCGUUACCACUUGAGCCACAUCCCCAGCCCACUCUAUAGGUUCUUAAUCAAGAAAACGACAAUCCUUAAUGCUAGGCUCUGCAAUAGACAUAAUCAAUUCACAGCAAAGGAUUCUAGAUUGAUUGAUUCACAGCACACAAUUCUAGAUUAAUUCUAAGCACCACAAAACACACUUAAUCAUGAUAGGCUAAUGACAGACAUUCCCUCUGCAUGCUAAGUUCAAAAGUCUUAAGCCUUAGGCUUUAUGUCCAGCAGAUGCACACUCACUCAGACCGCAGUGACCAGGUCCGGAACCCAGGAAGGUUUUUCCUGGUGUGGAGUGGACGACUAGUUGAGGACUGGGGAGAAGGGAGAAGUUGCAGCUCUCACCAAGGUCCAGACGAGGUGGUAGAGUUUGAGAGCAGUGAGGAUAACACAGAGGAUCAGGAAACAAUGACGAGUGAUGGGAUGUCCAGUCCUCAUCAGGCUCUCCAGCUCGAGUGCAUCCUUGUUUCGGCUGGCUGAAUCCCUGUUCAUUUGCUCUAUCAUUUAUACUAAAUUUUGGGGCUCUUGAUCCCCCUUUCAAUCCUUAUCAGCUACCACCGGAUUUCUCAGUGACAUAAUUUACCCUGGGGUCAGAAAUAUCUGGUCUGGUGGUCUCCACCCUGAUCUUCUCACCUUUCCCUUUUAUCAGGCGAGGACAGCCUGCCAGGGGCUUCACUCUGUUUAUCAGGGUGAGGGGAAGGAACUUGUUUGUGACCAUAAUGGAGGGCUCUGUGGGUGUGCCUAGUGAGACUGCAGGUUUCAAACUGGAGUUUUUAAAAUGGAGUUGCUUAAGCUUAGGACUAAGGCCAUCCUAACAGUGUGUGUGUGUGUGUGUGUGUGUGUGUGAGAGAGAGAGAGAAUCUGACAGUGUUUUUAUAGAAUUAGAAUUUUAGGAGGUCAUCUGGUUCAUCUGGUCAUCUUGUUUUAUAGACAAGGAAAGUGAAAAUCUGGAGAAGACAUAGGGCUCAUUCAGAAUCAUGGCAGCAUCAAGGCUAGACUCCAAGUCCCCACGUUGUCUUCAGGGAUUUCUUCUCUUUAUGUUCAGAGCUGCCACAGCUGGACAGAGAAAAGAGCUUCAGUUGUUUGGAAAGAUGAACAUUUACUUCCACAGUCUCCAUUCCCCUGGGAAGUAGAUGAAGGGAAGACUGAUGAAGAGCCUUAGAAUCAAAAAGUGUUGUAUUCGUUUUUCUCCAGUGUUGGGACUUUACGAAUCCUAUGUCCAGUUGAAGGUGAAAAUUGACCUGUUCAGUCUCCCAAAUUAUCCCCAAGAUCAUACUUGCUCUCUGUCUUCUCCAUCACUGCUUUGGCUGAGGCCCUCAUCAUUUCUCACCUAUGCACCCCAAAUGGCUAACAGCUCCUCGGAAUCAUGCUCCGUGCUAUUGCCAGAGAGAUGUUUCCAAAACACGAAUCUGAUCUUGUCAGCUCAGAUUUAGCACAAUCACAUAGCCCUCAAGAUUUUAACUUGGACUAUAUGAUGCGUAUGACACUAUAUGACAAUCUAACCCUCCUUUCUGACCCUCUGCCAGUGAUAUCUGAUUCCUGUGAUUGCAGUUUCUAGAAAAUCCACAUUUUAUUCUCUGUGCAGUCUCAUCCAUCUUACCUUGGCUCUGUGCCCAUCCUGCUCAUCCUUCAAGAACAGGCUGCUUUUCUCAGGUGUGAGGGUUAACACAACUCUCCCAGUAGGGUCAGCCAGAAUCUCAAAGUGUGCUCCAUGCUCUCUUUAGAUAUGUCUGUUAGUGUGUGGAUCACAUGCUCUGUAAUGGUCUGCUUCCAUGGUCUCCUCUCCUGGAGAGCAAAUUCUCCUUUAGAGCACAGACUGUAUCUGGUGGAAUUGACUCAACAAACGUUUGCAGAAAGAGAGGAAGGAAGGAAGGAAGGAAGGGAAGGAAGAAGUCAAACUGCAUCAGUAGAGAAGAGACUAACACUUUUUUGUUUACUUUUCAAAGAUUUUUUUUCAUGUGUGUGUGUGUGUGUGAAAAUAAAUGUUCCCCUAGCCAGGUAUGGUGACACCAGCCUGUAGUUCCAGCUACUUGGGAGACUGAAGUGGGAGGACCACUUGGGCCUAGAAGUUCAAGGCCAGCCUGGGCAACUUGACAAGAUCCUAUAUCUUAAAAAAACAAAACAACUUGAUGAUCUUACCUUCCCCAGUCCUACUCCUCAGAAGUAAUUUUUUUUAUAGUUCCUUUCUUCCAAAUCCUUCAUUACACCUGUAUAAAAAAGUAUGCAAACAUCUUUUAAAAAAUAAAUAUAGAAUCAUAUUAUAUGCGUUCUUUUACUGGUUUUGCUCAAUAUGUUACGAGCAUACAUAAAGAUCAACCACUUUUUUUUGAGAUCCAAUCAUAGCCAUUUAAUUUUUUUUCAGGUUUCUUUUAUUUUUUAAAAUUCUCAAUCCUAGGUAUAUAUAGAUAUAAAAGGCAAGAUAUGAAUUCAGAAUUUCUAUAGUAAUAUUCACCCCUAUUCCUUAGGGGUGAUUCCUUUCCCUGACAUUGAGUAGCUAUUGAUUACUAACUGGUUAUAGAUUAAAUAAACAAUAUCAAAUAAACUUAUCAUAUUCCUUGAGUCUUACUUUUCCUUAAGCCUAUGCCAUAUCAUUUUGAUUAAUGUUUACUUUAAGAUAGCUAUAAAGUGAUUCUUCUAUUUUUAUUUUUAAAAAGUCUUUUGUAUUUGUUUUUUAAUUUUAAUGACAGUAGGAUUUUUUUCGACAUAUCAUACGUACAUGGAGUGUAACUUCCCAUUCUUGUGGUUGAACAUGAUGUGGAGUUUCACUGGUCAUGUGUUCAUAUAUGAACAGAGGAAAGUUAAAUCUGAUUCAUUCUACUGUCUUUCCUAUUCCCAUCCACUGCCCUUCCAUUCAUUUCCCUUUGUCUAUUCUUCCCUUCCCUUCCUCCUUAUUGUGUGUUAGCAUCACUUAUCAGUGAGAACAUUCUGCUUUGGUUUUUGGGGGCUGGCUUAUUUGAUCUACCUCAUUUUAAAAAAAUGAUUGCAUCACAUCCCAUAAAAUAUAUGUGUGCCAUAUUUUAAAUUUCCCAUCAUUUAGAGAUAAGUAAGUUCUAAUUUUUAAAUAUUUAUGCUG